rnacentral:tRNA from 1 species
GGCAGGGUGGUCGAGUCUGGUUUAAGACGCUGGACUUAAGCUCCAGUUAGCAUGUACCCGCAUGCUACGCGGGUUCGAAGCUGACACGGGCGAAAAUCCCGUCCCUGCCG